UUGACAUUGGGUCUUGGUACUACAUGUACAGGAUAGGUGGGAGGCUUUGAAACCAGGACGCCAGUUUUGGCGGAGCCAUCCUUGGGAUACCACCCUUGUAGUACUGGGACUCUAACCAUAGGCCAUGAAUCUGGUCUUGGGACACUGUCAGGUGGGCAGUUUGACUGGGGCGGUCGCCUCCCAAAAGGUAACGGAGGCGCUCAAAGGUUCUCUCAGUACGGUCGG
rnacentral:rRNA from 1 species